AUGUUCACGUUGGAAGCACAUAUGCUAACAUCGGAGUGAUACAGAGAUUAGCAUGGCCCCUGUUCAAGGAUGACAUGCAAAUCUGUGAAGCAUUCCAUUAAAAA
rnacentral:snRNA from 1 species